rnacentral:rRNA from 1 species
AUGGGACUCACCGAAAUGAAAGUCGCCGACGCCGGCCCUCCCGCCGGGAUUCUGGAAAUGGACCAGCAAGAAUCGCCGGAGAGGAUGGUGUGGGAGGGCAAAGCUGCUGAAAACGGCAAAAAAGAUUGUUCCUCCGCCAUUGGCUGGCUGGAUCAGAAAAUGACACUUGUUAGCGCCAAAAGUCCUUGUCGAGAUUGUUCUCCUGCCAUUGGCUCGUUGGAUCAGAAAACGACGCUAGUUAGGAGUACUGAAGAUCAUUGUCUGUGCUCAGGAUGCAUGGAGGUCUCAUGGCAAAGCAAACGUACGUACGUGGACAGCAACUGUCCUCUGGCUGAGCUGUGCGCCUACAGUGUCACCACCCAAAUUCAUUUUUUAUAUUGA